rnacentral:rRNA from 1 species
UGCCAGCCGCCGCGGUAAUACGUAGGUGACGAGCGUUGUCCGGAAUUAUUGGGCGUAAAGGGAGCGCAGGCGGUUGGAAUAGUCUGAUGUGAAAGCCCACGGCUUAACCGUGGAAGGUCAUUGGAAACUGUCCAACUUGAAUGCAGAAGAGGAAAGUGGAAUUCCAUGUGUAGCGGUGAAAUGCGUAGAUAUAUGGAGGAACACCAGUGGCGAAGGCGACUUUCUGGUCUGUAAUUGACGCUGAGGCUCGAAAGCGUGGGUAGCGAACAGGAUUAGAUA